rnacentral:rRNA from 1 species
UUUCCUACGGGACGCAGCAGUGAGGAAUAUUGGUCAAUGGGCGGGAGCCUGAACCAGCCAAGUCGCGUGAGGGACGACGGUCCUAUGGAUUGUAAACCUCUUUUGUCGGGGAACAAAGGCGUCCACGGGUGGGCGGAUGAGUGUACCCGAAGAAAAAGCAUCGGCUAACUCCGUGCCAGCAGCCGCGGUAAUACGGAGGAUGCGAGCGUUAUCCGGAUUUAUUGGGUUUAAAGGGUGCGUAGGCAGACAGUAUAGUC